UACAGAGGUCUCAAGCGUUGUUCGGAUUCAUUGGGCGUAAAGGGCGCGUAGGCGGCGUGACUAGUCACUUGUGAAAUCUCCGGGCUUAACUCGGAACGGUCAAGUGAUACUGUCGUGCUAGAGUACAGAAGGGGCAACUGGAAUUCUCGGUGUAGCGGUGAAAUGCGUAGAUAUCGAGAGGAACACCUGCGGCGAAGGCGGGUAGCUGGGCCGACACUGACGCUGAGGCGCGAAAGCCAGGGGAGCGAACGGG
rnacentral:rRNA from 1 species